UCUGAGCCUCCGAGCCACCCAUUCAUCCUCUUAUGUAAAGCAUGGCAACAUUAGGCUCGAUAGAAUCGCCUUUGCACAAGCAUUGCCAAUUCGGCGCUCAUUUGAGCCACGGAACUUGAACGCAUGACUAAUCAAGACUCGAGCUUUCCCAAACUUCCCCUUGCACAUGCGGGACCCACGGGUCCGCCAUGUUGACUGCAGGCCACCCCUCCUGACCGACCAAAAUUUCAAAUUCCCCAAGCUUCUCCUUCUCUUCACUCUUUCAUUUAACUUCCCCUACACUCAAACUUCUCCACACUCAACCUCUCCUACACUCUUUCCCUAACUUCCCCUACACUCUACCUUGACAUUUCCCCACCUUAAUCUUCCCUCAAAAAAUUCGGAUGCUCUAAGUACACCUCAAUUGCACUUACUCCACUUAACCUUGUCAUUAAGCUUGCCCUUAUAAAUCCAUUGCAUCAUUAACUUAAUGACAACUCAAUUCCCAUCAUCUCUCCAGCUUUCUCACUCAAGAACACUCUCCCAACUCCUCUCAUUUUCCAAAAUUUCGGAUAGCCUCAGUUGAGCCCAAACACAAGGCCGAUUUGCCCAAAAACUCAAUAGUUUUCAAGCGACUGCCCCUCAACCCGAACCAAACUUGCCCAAACUUCUUACCCCCCAUGUCUUCGACCUUCUAAAUCCAUUUUCGGACUUAGUUGUAGUGUUCGAAGCUUCCAGCAUGUCGUUUCAGUUCGGCACAGAAAUAGCGCCCAACCGGGUUCUAUCAGUCACUUUUGGGUCCUAGACGUGUCCUACCUUCCCACGACUUCAGCGAGUCAUGCCAUCAUAUUCUAAGGGUUCCUCACAACCCUCACUCUCCCCCGUAAUAAGACGGGCGAAAUCCUCACAAAACUAGUGCAGGCAUGAUCCUCAGUCAGUUAAGAGUCUAAUGCCACCGACCUUGCAUCAAAAGACCACCGGGAGCCUCCUGUAGACCCAUUUCUUCGUCAGGUGCCAGUCGGGUCUGUUUUGACCCAACUGAGUCUGUCAUUUUUUACUAAUCCGACUUUGCUUUUAAUUUUCGGAAAAUCUACACGCACAAUCUUCACGAAACUAGCGCAGGCGUGAUCCUCAGUCAAUUAGGAGUCCAAUUCCAUCGACUUUGCAUCAAACGACCACCGGAAGCCUCCUGUAGACCCGUUUCUUCAUCGGGUGGCAGUCGAGUCUGUUUUGCCCCGAUUGGGUUUGUCAUUUUUUACUGAUCCGACUUUGCUUUUGAUUUUCGAAAAAUCUACGCGUGCAAUCUUCACGAUAUCAACACAGGCGUGAUCCUUAGUCUCUUGAAAAUCCAAGGCAACUGACCCCACGCGAAAAGGCCACUACAAUCAACCGGUACAGCCCCGACAAGCCGGACUGCCAAUCGGGUCUACCGCUGACCCGACUUCACUGAUUCGGGUCCGUUCACUCCAGGGGGCAAAAUCGACUCUCUAGGGGCCGUAUGUGGUUUCCAUGCCUCAAUUUAAGUCGUUUCCAGAGGUUUUUUUACUUUUUUCCGCUUCCAUGAGUUGGUGUCGUUUUAUUGAUUUCCUUAAAUAUCAUGUUUGUAUUUGUUUGUAUGCUCGAUUGCGUUCCUAAGAUCAUGGUGGCAUCAACUUUAUAAAAUGUGCGUUAUUAUUGUGUUUGA